UAACAUGAGAGUUUGAUCCUGGCUCAGGAUGAACGCUGGCGGCGUGCUUAACACAUGCAAGUCGAACGGACUCAUAUUGAAACCUAGUGAUUUGUGAGUUAGUGGCGGACGGGUGAGUAACGCGUGGAAAACCUGCCGUAUACUGGGGGAUAACACUUAGAAAUAGGUGCUAAUACCGCAUAAGCGCACAGCUUCGCAUGAAGCAGUGUGGAAAACAAAAAGUUAAAACUUUUGGUGGUAUACGAUGGUUCCGCGUCUGAUUAGCUAGUUGGCGGGGUAACAGCCCACCAAGGCGACGAUCAGUAGCCGGCCUGAGAGGGUGAACGGCCACAUUGGGACUGAGA
rnacentral:rRNA from 1 species